rnacentral:rRNA from 1 species
UACAGAGGUCUCAAGCGUUGUUCGGAUUCAUUGGGCGUAAAGGGUGCGUAGGCGGCGAGGUUAGUCGGAUGUGAAAUCCCAGGGCUCAACCCUGAAACUGCAUUCGAUACUGCGUGGCUAGAGUGCUGGAGAGGAGACUGGAAUUUACGGUGUAGCAGUGAAAUGCGUAGAUAUCGUAAGGAAGACCAGUGGCGAAGGCGAGUCUCUGGACAGCAACUGACGCUGAGGCACGAAGGCCAGGGGAGCAAACGGG